UGGGAGGCUUUGAAGUGUGGACGCCAGUCUGCAUGGAGCCGACCUUGAAAUACCACCCUUUAAUGUUUGAUGUUCUAACGUGGGCCCCUUACCGGGGUUGCGGACAGUGUCUGGUGGGUAGUUUGACUGGGGCGGUCUCCUCCUAAAGAGUAACGGAGGAGCACGAAGGUUGGCUAAUCCUGGUCGGACAUCAGGAGGUUAGUGCAAUGGCAUAAGCCAGCUUGACUGCGAGCGUGACGGCGCGAGCAGGUGCGAAAGCAGGUCAUAGUGAUCCGGUGGUUCUGAAUGGAAGGGCCAUCGCUCAACGGAUAAAAGGUACUCCGGGGAUAACAGGCUGAUACCGCCCAAGAGUUCAUAUCGACGGCGGUGUUUGGCACCUCGAUGUCGGCUCAUCACAUCCUGGGGCUGAAGUAGGUCCCAAGGGUAUGGCUGUUCGCCAUUUAAAGUGGUACGCGAGCUGGGUUUAGAACGUCGUGAGACAGUUCGGUCCCUAUCUGCCG
rnacentral:rRNA from 1 species